rnacentral:rRNA from 1 species
AUUGAACGCUGGCGGCAUGCCUUACACAUGCAAGUCGAACGUGAAAGCGGGGCAACCCGCAAGUAGAGUGGCGGACGGGUGAGUAAUACAUCGGAACGUGUCCAGUAAUGGGGGAUAACCUAGCGAAAGUUAGGCUAAUACCGCAUACGAUCUGCGGAUGAAAGCGGGGGAUGCGGCACUAAAGGCUUUUGGCGAAGGUGGCCAAAGGUGAGUCAAGAGCUUUUAGUGCUGCACCUCGCGUUAUUGGAGCGGCUGAUGUCUGAUUAGCUAGUUGGUGAGGUAAAGGCUUACCAAGGCGACGAUCAGUAGCUGGUCUGAGAGGACGCCAGCCACACUGGGACUGAGACACGGCCCAGACU